GACGAACGCUGGCGGCGUGCCUAAUACAUGCAAGUAGAACGCACAGUUUAUACCGUAGCUUGCUACACCAUAGACUGUGAGUUGCGAACGGGUGAGUAACGCGUAGGUAACCUGCCUGGUAGCGGGGGAUAACUAUUGGAAACGAUAGCUAGUACCGCAUAAUAUUAAUUAUUGCAUGAUAAUUAAUUGAAAGGUGCAAUUGCACCACUACCAGAUGGACCUGCGUUGUAUUAGCUAGUAGGUGAGGUAACGGCUCACCUAGGCGACGAUACAUAGCCGACCUGAGAGGGUGAUCGGCCACACUGGGACUGAGACACGGCCCAGACUCCUACGGGAGGCAGCAGUAGGGAAUCUUCGGCAAUGGACGAAAGUCUGACCGAGCAACGCCGCGUGAGUGAAGAAGGUUUUCGGAUCGUAAAGCUCUGUUGUAAGGGAAGAACGGGUGUGAGAGUGGAAAGUUCACACUGUGACGGUAUCUUACCAGAAAGGGACGGCUAACUACGUG
rnacentral:rRNA from 1 species